rnacentral:lncRNA from 1 species
UGCUCUACGUGCUUAUAUUCAAGAUUAUAUUGUUCUUAGUUUAUCAUAGUUAUGUACUUGGCUUAGUUAGAUUGGAUCUAUAUACAUGCUUAGGAUCGUAUAGCGUUUAUCCAUCGGAUCCAUGGGUAAAUGAUAGAUAUUGUGUAGGCGUGGUGCUUAUACCGUAUUUAUCUGCGAUUGUACCCAAUAUGCCAGAUCGUGGGGU